AUUGAACGCUGGCGGCAGGCCUAACACAUGCAAGUCGAGCGGAGCGGCGGACGGGUGAGUAAUGCUUAGGAAUCUGCCUGGUAGUGGGGGAUAACGUUCGGAAAUGGGCGCUAAUACUGCAUACUAUUAGAUGCGCCUCUGUCGGAUUAGCUUGUUGUGGGGGUAAAGGCCUACCCAGGCGACGAUCCGGAACUGGUCUGAGAGGAUGAUCAGUCACACUGGAACUGAGACACGGUCCAGACUCCUACGGGAGGCAGCAGUAGGGAAUCUUGGGCAAUGGGCGAAAGCCUGAUGCAGCCAUGCCGCGUGUGUGAAGAAGGUCUUCGGAUUGUAAAGCACUGUAAGUUGGGAGGCGUUACCAAAAGAAAAAGCACCGGCUAACUUCGUGCCAGCAGCCGCGGUAAUUC
rnacentral:rRNA from 1 species